rnacentral:lncRNA from 10 species
GCUUCGCGGCCCCACCCCGCCCAGGUCUACCCCUCAGGGACCCAGGGCUUGAAGGCUCCGGGACUAAAGGAAAGUAGCCACAUCUGGCGAGCCGAAGGGUGCGGGGGGCCUGGUGUCAGGACCCAGCUGGAAGGGCUGGGGCGAGAGACAGUGAGCCACCGCCCCGCAGGACAUUGAAAAGGCAGGGAGAACCCAAUCGCCCGACCCCGCGCCCAGGUCUGUGCGCCCCAGCCGGAACGGGUCCAGCAGAUGGCGCCGGGCGCCAGGCCGGCGAGGGAUAUUCGCGAUGUAGAAGGCGUUCCAGGAUUUCCAGGCAGCCGUGGGUGCAGCUGGAUCCGGGGGAAAAACCGGGCCUGGAGCACCCUUGCCCUCCUGCUCCUUCCCCCUUCUUAGUUCGGAUUGGGGUCUAGGAUUGCGGGGGGGCGGCGCGGGGCGGGGAAAGGGAGGGAAGACGGGAACUGGAGUUUUGGGAAUCUGAGGAUUGGCUUUCGAAGGCAUCGCUGGUUUUUGGGGGGGAUGAGAGGCGGGGACUCCCUGGGGAAGGUGACCGGGCCUGGGAGGGGCUUCGCUCUCCAUAGGAACAAAGGCUGCGUCGUGAGAGAGGAGGCGAGAGGGGAGGGCUAUGAGGGCCGGGGUACAUCUCCGAGGGUGCCAGGGGGCGCUGCGGGCCGGGGCUGCUAGAAGGCGCCUGGAAGACCGCUGUACCUGGUGCCGGGAGGAGCUUUGGGGAGACCUGGGAAAUACAGGGAGGAAGCCGAGUGGGGGGAUGGGAAGGCGCCCUCCCUGUUUCCAUCAAUAGUGCCUAAUUAAGACAAAGCCAGCAGCGAGCCCACUGAUUACAUUUCCAUGAGGAGCGAAAUUUAUGACAUUUUCUUUGCUGGAUGAGGAGAAGAGAAGCUGGCACCUCAGUUCCCCCAUUUUCUGUUUGGCGUUCACACCUAACAGAUCUCAUUAUGCCAGCCUGGCACUACCAGGAGUGGCAGUCCCUGGUACUCCUGAAGAGCAAGUGGAUUAACCACACCCUAUCCCAGCGCUGACCUCACCCUCCCACCUACCGUAUCUUUAUUCCCAGAAGUGUCAACCCUUUCCCUCCCCCCGACCCCCAAUAAUUCCUCCUGCCCAGCCAGACUCCUGUUGCUGACAGCAGGAAUGGAAGGAGAGGAGUACCGCCCACCCCAAAACCAGCUGCACAGCUAGCACAGCUAAGAUGGAACGUGGAGGUGUUCCUCUAGCCAGAUAGGCCAUGGGUGGCAGACAGAGGUGAUGUGGUUGGCCAGAACCCCUAGGGAAAAGUCCCAAAGGAGUGAAAAUUUGCUGGAGGCGUGGGGUGGGGAGCCUCAGGGGCAAGGUUCAUGGGUCCCUCGGGGAAAGGAACUUUGCACAGACCCCAUUUCUUUUCUUAAACCCCCCUCCCCAACUGUGGCUGUGCCUACGGAUCCCAGCCCCCCACAUUAUGCUAAAUAGGUAAUCAAACAUCUCGCUUUGCUAAUUACUGCUCAAUCCGAUUAAACGCUGCUGAAGCUCAUCAACAGAGGUGGAGGUAGGGGGAAGGGACGAAGGCGGGGCAACCACAGCUAGCUAUGAUGGGGGUCUUUUCCCCAGGGGCUCUUCGGGGCUAGAGAAACAGCCAGGGUUGCAAGACCGUGUACAUCCCAAAGGAAAGGGCAGAAGAGUUGUGACCUCGAGCCUCAGCCUUGCUGCACCUCCCAGCCACGGCCCUUUUCCUCCUCCCAGAACCUUCAUUACCCUCCGAACCCAGGCAUCCGGCCAUUCCCACAGCUCCCCACACACAUCCCUGUCCCAGAUUUAAUAAGUUCUGUUCCCUCAUUGUCAAUAUUUGAUUUCUCAGAGCCAUCUCCACGGAGAGGGGGGUGGGGGAUCUUUCCUUGCCUCCCCCCUACUUUGGCCCUCUUUUGCCCACCCCCAGUCUCUUUGUGCCCCCAACCUUCUCUGAACUUGCUGACUUAAUGAAAUGAUAUUAAAGUCUUAAGCAACUCCAAAAGAAUGGUUGUUAUGGUGAAGGGAGUGGGCAGGACGCCUGGGUCCCGGAGGGGAGCAAAGGCUGAGGAGGGGGAAAGGGAGCCAGAGGCUAAGGUCUAGAGACCCCAGUCCCUAGUGGGGAACAGCAGAUUUGGGGUGAGCUGGGGGCCAGACCUCUGGAUCUUGGCUGGAAGCAGGGGAUGAGGACUGGGGGCUAGGAGAAGGUGGAAAGAGAGGUCCAUUCCAGGGGUCAGGGUCUCGGCCUGCUGUCCGGAUCAUUCAUCAGAGACAGAGGCCAGGGGAGACAGGGCCUCUAUGCCAGCAGCCUCCCUGCCGGCUGUGCCCUGGGCUGGUCCCGUGAGAACCAGAGUAGAUUACUCUACAGCCUGACUCAUCCUUCUCCCCCAGCAGCCCCCCACAGGUGAUUUGUAGCUGAUGCCCCCACGAUGGUAGGGGCCAGGAUAGUCAUUCCAUGACAUGAAGAACUGAGAGCUUCCAGGACAGAAGAGAACAGAGGCCAAGGGAAAGGAAGCCAAGCACCCCCCUUCACCUCCCCCCACCCAUCCCCAUCUCCCCUGGGGACCCUGGCCCAGCCCCAGUCCCCUUGGGGUGGUGGGAAUGCAAGGACAUUUGGCUGGGGCUGAUUGAUGAGGGAGGAGGCAGCCACCGGGCACUGAGGCUGCUGUUUGCUGAGCACACAGAUUCCUCCCAACUCACCAGCUGCUACCCCCUGAAGCAGCUCAGUCUCCCCCCGACAUCACCCCGCCAGCCACUGGGGUUGCGGUGCCUGAGUUUCUGAUGGCAACUGGAGGAAGAGGGAGAACCAGAAAACUGAACACUUCGAUUCCCUGUGGGAAUUGGGGUACCUGGGGCCUGGUCCCCUCAGAACUCCCUUCAGAACUCCACUUUCCCUGCUACCUUUCAAGUAGCUCUCUGGCUGCCCAGUUGUCAUUCCCAUUCAUUCUGUGUCCCUUUUCCUUCCCCCACCCAACUCUGAGCCUAUGCCAGACAGCCUCCUGCCUCCAAACCACCGUGUGACAUUUCUCCCAGGUCUCAAAACUCUCCCAAGCCCCAUGUCCACGGUGGCCCAUAUAGCCCCUUAGGAAGGGCCAUUUUUCAUUCUAAUUAAAAUUCCAGAUAUGAUGUCAACCAUUCCGCAUCAGAAAUUCCCACUGCAAGGCCAGGCACAGUGGCUCACAUCUGUAAUUCCAGCACUUUGGGAAGCUGAGGUGGGUGGAUCACCUGAGGUCGGGAGUUCAAGACCAGCCUGGCCAAUGUGGUGAAACCCCAUCUCUACUAAAAAUACAAAAAAUUAGCCGGGCGUGGUGGCACAUGCCUGUAGUCCCAGCUACUCGGGAGGCUGAGGCACGAGAAUUGCACCACUGCACUCCAG